CUACGUGCCAGCAGCCGCGGUAAUACGGAGGAUGCGAGCGUUAUCCGGAUUUAUUGGGUUUAAAGGGUGCGUAGGUUGUUCGGUAAGUCAGCGGUGAAACCUGAACGCUCAACGUUCAGCCUGCCGUUGAAACUGCCGGGCUUGAGUUCAGUGGCGGCAGGCGGAAUUCGUGGUGUAGCGGUGAAAUGCAUAGAUAUCACGAGGAACUCCGAUUGCGAAGGCAGCUUGCCAUACUGCGACUGACACUGAAGCACGAAGGCGUGGGUAUCAAACAGGAUUAGAUACCCUGGUAGUCCACGCAGUAAACGAUGAUUACUAGGAGUUUGCGAUAUACCGUCAAGCUUCCACAGCGAAAGCGUUAAGUAAUCCACCUGGGGAGUACGCCGGCAACGGUGAAACUCAAAGGAAUUGACGGGGGCCCGCACAAGCGGAGGAACAUGUGGUUUAAUUCGAUGAUACGCGAGGAACCUUACCCGGGCUUGAA
rnacentral:rRNA from 1 species